GCUCAAUCCACUGAGCCACACCAGCCAGGGCACCACUGGGUGACUUUUACUAACUCAGUUUUAUUGACUUUCUGAAUGAGAACACUACAGAGGACUCCUAGAAAGGUGGGUAGUAAUGAAUGCUCUUAGAUUAUUUUAUCACUAAGAUUCCCAGAAUGCCUCUAACUGUAUACAGAUACAUGAGAUUUAAUUUAGGUUUAUGAGCAUUGUAGGAUGAUUUCUAAAAUAUUUGUUUUAGCAUUAGGGCUUAGGUUAUCUAUUGAGGAAAUUCUCAUUUAUAAUAAUAAUUCAUCCUUCAGAUAAGUCAAUUAGAAAUCACUGAAGUUUCCACCAUUGAAAACUUCUGGUCACUUGAGCAUAUCUUAAUAUUUCAAAGUUGACUUAAUUUCUUGUUUUUUUGACCCAAUUCUAAUUUUAACUCUUGCAGUUCAACCUACAGAGCUAGUUGGUGGGAAACAUUUAGUACUGAUGUUCUGGCCAGUUUGUUUUCCCAUCUGAAAGUUCCAAUGAGUCCUUCCACUUGUCAGACAUUUGUUGAGUCUCUGCCAUGUGCCAGCCCCUGUGCUAAAGGCUGGGGUGCCCUGGAAAUGCAGAGAUGGACGACAAUCUCUUCUCACCGGAGCUCCCAGUCAAAGUGCCAGAGAAGGUCAAGGAUGGUGUUUCUGAGUUUUCUCCACUUGCAGCGCUCCUGAAACUAGGGAAGACUCCGUGAUUCAGAGCACAGAGGGGUGUCAGCUUCCAGUUGGUCUUUGAGGAAACAAAACAACAAGGUUUUGCACACAAGGUGGUGCUGCUGCUCUGCAGAUGGGCUGUGAUCUCUUUGGAGAGCUUCUCAGAGAUGAGGAGCGGCCACAGGCAGAGUAACAAGCCUUAGGAAAGAAUCCUGGUGCCAGCACAAGCUCAUCCAUUACCACUGUCAGAACACCAACACAUUGGGUUGUCUCUGCUGGGGGUGGUGAGCCGAGCUGCUUCUGGUACUAAGGACAGCAUUUAGCAUUUAAAUUCGAAAAUAUGUCAAAUAUGUAAGUGACAUCUAUUAAAAAACAAUCUUAAGGUCAAGACUAACAUAAGGGAGCAAGGAGGAGAGAGAAGGUAAAGAUUGUCUUGGAAUGGAAAUCCUCUAUCAUCCUACAACACACCAAAAUAUUAGGAAUUAUAUUUUACAGGGUUCAGAGGACAUAACUAGAAUUUUUGAAACAUAAGUGGUAACCCUUACCUUACUGUUUAGGAAAAUAGUGUGUGAGAAGAUAAUUUUCCUGUUAUGAACCCAAACCCACAUGAUUUUUUUAAAAUCCUAUGCCCCAAGGGAGAAUCAUCCCAAACAACCUGACAAGUAGGUAAAAGCAGGUAACCUGAGCUGGGAGGAUUUAAGUGAACGUUGGGUCCAGCCUACAUUAGUUAUCCUCUGUGGUUCAAAUGAGCUUAGAGCUAGCAGCACUACUCCACUAAUUUGGAACAGACAGGCUUCAAGGAAGAUCCAUUCAUUCAUUCAGUUUAAAAAUAUUUGAGCACUGCCCUGGCUGGUGUGGCUCAGUGGGCUGACUGCAGGCCUGCCAGUCAGCGGGUGAUUCCGAGUCAGGGCACACGCC